UACGUAGGGGGCGAGCGUUGUCCGGAGUUACUGGGCGUAAAGCGUACGCAGGCGGUCUUUUAAGUUCAAAGUGACAGUCGUCGGCUCAACCGAGGAAGGCCUGGGAAGACUGAAAGACUUGAGGGCUCAAGAGGGACACGGAAUUCCGGGUGGAGUGGUGAAAUGCGUAGAUAUUGGGAAGAACACCGGUGGCGAAGGCGGCGACCUGGUCCUUGACUGACGCUGAGGCGCGAAAGCGUGGGGAGCAAACAGG
rnacentral:rRNA from 1 species